GUGCUCGCUUCGGCAGCAUAUAUAAUAAAAUUGGAACGAUACAGAGAAGAUUAGCAUGACCCCUGCAGAAGGAUGACACGCAAUAAAAGAAUAAAAUAUAAAAAAAU